ACCACAUCAUCCGCGGAAAGCAGAGAUGAGAUUCUGAGACCACCCAAGUGAAAGCCUACCGCCACUUGACUACCCCUAGAAAUUCUGUCCAUAAAAAUUGUGAACAGAAUCGGUGACAAAGGACAGCCCUGGUGGAGCCCAUCACCCACCAGGAACGCUAUGUCUUCUGGGGACUUUUUUGCCAACAGUGUCUCUUUCAACAACAUGUGUAGGAAAUCCCCUGUGAUGACAUCACACAGGUAGAGCAAUGCUGACCCCUCCCCUUCACUGAGAGACAACAUUGGAAAGUCCCUCGCGGCGCCUCCGUGACGUGCUGGAUCUGGAAGGAGCGCGUCGAGCAGCAGACUCAUUCCAACACGAUGCAACACGGGAAAUUUGUCCUACCUGCGGCUCUCAAACUUUAGACCUCUCUAUAACACCUGGACAGUUUGUAUCAUAUACACUGCUCUUUACCUUUGGAAUAUUUACCUGAAGCUCGAAUGGAGCACCUAACAAAACAAUUCUAAUAAAGU